GUGGGUGUAGCUCACUGGUAGAGUGCAUGCUUGGCAUGCAUGAGGUCCUGGGUUCAAUCCCCAGUACCUCCA
rnacentral:tRNA from 1 species